rnacentral:miRNA from 1 species
CUUCCUCUUCCUUCUCCUCCUCCUCCUCCUCUUCUUCAAGUGAGGACAAAGGCUUCAUAAAGUAUUUAUCAGUGAAAGGUACUGAGACUUCAGUUAUUCAGGUGCCUUUAACAGGGCUUGGACUUCCAGCAAUCGGAGUUUUCUGUCAA